rnacentral:misc_RNA from 1 species
UCGUAACAAGGUUUCCGUAGGUGAACCUGCGGAAGGAUCAUUACCUAGAGUUGCGGGCUUUGCCUGCUAUCUCUUACCCAUGUCUUUUGAGUACUUACGUUUCCUCGGCGGGUCCGCCCGCCGAUUGGACAAUUUAAACCAUUUGCAGUUGCAAUCAGCGUCUGAAAAACUUAAUAGUUACAACUUUCAACAACGGAUCUCUUGGUUCUGGCAUCGAUGAAGAACGCAGCGAAAUGCGAUAAGUAGUGUGAAUUGCAGAAUUCAGUGAAUCAUCGAAUCUUUGAACGCACAUUGCGCCCCUUGGUAUUCCAUGGGGCAUGCCUGUUCGAGCGUCAUUUGUACCUUCAAGCUUUGCUUGGUGUUGGGUGUUUGUCUCGCCUCUGCGUGUAGACUCGCCUUAAAACAAUUGGCAGCCGGCGUAUUGAUUUCGGAGCGCAGUACAUCUCGCGCUUUAAACUCAUAACGACGACGUCCAAAAGUACAUUUUUACACUCUUGACCUCGGAUCAGGUAGGGAUACCCGCUGAACUUAAGCAUAUCAAUAA